UCCAGACUCCUACGGGAGGCAGCAGUGGGGAAUAUUGCACAAUGGGGGAAACCCUGAUGCAGCGACGCCGCGUGAGUGAAGAAGUAUUUCGGUAUGUAAAGCUCUCUCAGCAGGGAGGAAAAUGACGGUACCUGACUAAGAAGCCCCGGCUAACUACGUGCCAGCAGCCGCGGUAAUACGUAGGGGGCAAGCGUUAUCCGGAUUUACUAGGUGUAAAGGGAGCGUAGACGGCAUGGCAAGUCAGAUGUGAAAGCCCGGGGCUCAACCCCGGGACUGCAUUUGAAACUGUCAGGCUGGAGUGCAGGAGAGGUAAGUGGAAUUCCUAGUGUAGCGGUGAAAUGCGUAGAUAUUAGGAGGAACACCAGUGGCGAAGGCGGCUUACUGGACUGUAACUGACGUUGAGGCUCGAAAGCGUGGGGAGCAAACAGGAUUAGAUACCCCGGUAG
rnacentral:rRNA from 1 species